rnacentral:misc_RNA from 1 species
CACGCAGCAGCAGGAAUCAGCAGCAG